AAACCAACAGGGAUUGCCUCAGUAACGGCGAGUGAAGCGGCAAAAGCUCAAAUUUGAAAUCCCCCGGGAAUUGUAAUUUGAAGAGAUUUGGGUCCGGCCGGCAGGGGUUAAGUCCACUGGAAAGUGGCGCCACAGAGGGUGACAGCCCCGUGAACCCCCUCAACGCCUUUAUCCCAGGUCUCCAAGAGUCGAGUUGUUUGGGAAUGCAGCUCUAAGUGGGUGGUAAAUUCCAUCUAAAGCUAAAUACCGGCGAGAGACCGAUAGCGAACAAGUACAGUGAUGGAAAGAUGAAAAGCACUUUGAAAAGAGAGUGAAAAAGUACGUGAAAUUGUUGAAAGGGAAGGGCUUGCAAGCAGACACUUAACUGGGCCAGCAUCGGGGCGGCGGGAAACAAAACCACCGGGGAAUGUACCUUUCGAGGAUUAUAACCCCGGUCUCAAUUUCCUUGUUGCCCCGAGGCCUGCAAUCUAAGGAUGCUGGCGUAAUGGUUGCAAGUCGC
rnacentral:rRNA from 1 species